rnacentral:lncRNA from 1 species
AAAUUUUGAACUUAUAGCAUGUGCGCAAGAGAAGCUUUAGGCAUGUGCGGUUAGCUUUGUCAGGUACGAAAAAAGAUAAGGGAUGAUUAAAGAAGUACUUGGGCGAGAUAAUUAGAUAAGAUAUGAUGCGGCUCCAAAUUUUCAAAGACAUGACUCUUGACAAGAAGGUAUGUAGGUCGAGCAUUAGAGUUGUAGCUUAAGGGGUAGUCGAGCAGUUUUCUUCUUCGUAUCAGCUAGUUUGAUAGUGUUUUGUCUAGAAUUGCUUGUGAUUUAUGUUGUAUUUCACACUUUUCUAUUUAUUUGCUAUCUCUUACAUUGCUGAUAUUAUUUUUCUGAUUUCUGUUAUUGUAAGAUUGACAUAUACUAUACUUUACUGGUUUAUUGUUGUUGCAUGUAACCUAUAUAUGUAUACAAUAUGUCAAAAUUAUUCUUAGAAUUUUAUGAUCUUCAAGAUAUCAUGUAAUUCCUGUG